ACGGGUGAGUAACGCGUAAGUAAUCUACCCUUGCAUCUGGAAUAACCCACCGAAAGGUGAGCUAAUACCGGAUACGUUCAGAUUGGUGCGAAUCAGUUUGAAGAAAGGUGGCCUCUUCUUGAAAGCUACUGUGCAGGGACGAGCUUGCGUACCAUUAGCUAGUUGGUAGGGUAAUGGCCUACCAAGGCGACGAUGGUUAGCGGGUCUGAGAGGAUGAUCCGCCACACUGGAACUGGAACACGGACCAGACCCCUACGGGAGGCAGCAGUGAGGAAUAUUGCGCAAUGGGGGAAACCCUGACGCAGCGACGCCGCGUGGAUGAUGAAGGCCCUUGGGUCGUAAAAUCCUGUCAGGUGGAAAGAAAUGUAUAUAUGCUAAUACCAUAUAUAUUUGACGGUACCACCAAAGGAAGCACCGGCUAACUCCGUGCCAGCAGCCGCGGUAAUACGGAGGGUGCAAGCGUUGUUCGGAAUUACUGGGCGUAAAGCGCGCGUAGGCGGUUUGUUAAGUCAGAUGUGAAAGCCCUCGGCUCAACCGGGGACGUGCAUUUGAAACUGGCAGACUUGAGUAUUGGAGGGGGUGGUGG
rnacentral:rRNA from 1 species